rnacentral:rRNA from 1 species
AUGGAGCCGACCUUGAAAUACCACCCUUUAAUGUUUGAUGUUCUAACGUUGACCCGUAAUCCGGGUUGCGGACAGUGUCUGGUGGGUAGUUUGACUGGGGCGGUCUCCUCCUAAAGAGUAACGGAGGAGCACGAAGGUUGGCUAAUCCUGGUCGGACAUCAGGAGGUUAGUGCAAUGGCAUAAGCCAGCUUGACUGCGAGCGUGACGGCGCGAGCAGGUGCGAAAGCAGGUCAUAGUGAUCCGGUGGUUCUGAAUGGAAGGGCCAUCGCUCAACGGAUAAAAGGUACUCCGGGGAUAACAGGCUGAUACCGCCCAAGAGUUCAUAUCGACGGCGGUGUUUGGCACCUCGAUGUCGGCUCAUCACAUCCUGGGGCUGAAGUAGGUCCCAAGGGUAUGGCUGUUCGCCAUUUAAAGUGGUACGCGAGCUGGGUUUAGAACGUCGUGAGACAGUUCGGUCCCUAUCUGCCGUGGGCGCUGGAGAACUGAGGGGGGCUGCUCCUAGUACGAGAGGACCGGAGUGGACGCAUCACUGGUGUUCGGGUUGUCAUGCCAAUGGCACUGCCCGGUAGCUAAAUGCGGAAGAGAUAAGUGCUGAAAGCAUCUAAGCACGAAACUUGCCCCGAGAUGAGUUCUCCCUGACUCCUUGAGAGUCCUGAAGGAACGU